UACAGAGGGGGCGAGCGUUAAUCGGAAUUACUGGGCGUAAAGCGCGCGUAGGCGGCUUAUUAAGUCGGAUGUGAAAGCCCUGAGCUUAACUUAGGAAUUGCAUUCGAUACUGGUAAGCUAGAGUAUGGGAGAGGAAGGUAGAAUUCCAGGUGUAGCGGUGAAAUGCGUAGAUAUCUGGAGGAAUACCGAUGGCGAAGGCAGCCUUCUGGCCUAAUACUGACGCUGAGGUGCGAAAGCAUGGGGAGCAAACAGG
rnacentral:rRNA from 1 species